AACGCCAUUGUUUUCAUCGUAAGU
rnacentral:siRNA from 1 species